rnacentral:lncRNA from 1 species
AAGAUAAGUAAAAGAAUAGAUUGAUGAGCAUUGAGAGUUCUUUUGAUUUCACCCGAUUUGGCAUAGAGACUAUGCUGCUUCUUUGAUUCAGGUUUGAGGUCUAUUUCUUUCUUCUUUUGUAGCUGCAGUUGAUCUUGAUGAACUUCCUUUGGUGUUAGAGGAACCAGCACAGUCUUCUUUCCUUUGAACUCAAACGUGUGCUUGUUGGUGUAGCCAUCAUGUAUCACUCGUCUAUCUGAUUGCCAUGGCCGACCAAGAAGGAUAUGUCCAGCUUCCAUAGGCAAUACAUCACAGAGAACAUCAUCCUCAUACCUUCCAAUUGCAAUGGGAACCGAAACCUGACUAGAACCCCUCAUUUCUCCUUCUUCAUUCA